AAUGUUAUCGAUGGCGGAUGGCGGUCCAUGGCGGUCCGGCCUGAAAACCGCCAUAAGGAUAUGGCGGGUGCCAUGGCGGGUUAUGGCGGACGCAUGGCGGAUUAAUAAAAUAAUAAUAUAUAUACUUAUAUAUAUGCAAAUUAUGAAAUUAACACAUGCAAAAUCCAAGAAAAAUCAUAGAAAACUUGAUAUCCUAAGUUUAAACAUAACAUAUUCCUAAGUUCAAAGUUCAAACAUAACAAAAUGCAAGAAUAAGUUCAAGUCUUCAACUUCAAGCAUAAGAUAUAGAUAGAUAGGUAAUAAUGCUAGUCCUCCU
rnacentral:lncRNA from 1 species